GGCCUGGCGGCAGGGGGCGCGCGGCCGGGCCGAGGAAACUUGGCGGCGCCAACUCCGCCCGGCCGCUCUUAAAGGGGCCGCGGCCGGGGCGACACGGGGGGCCAUUCGUGUCCCGCGUCCGGGGCAGCCUGGCGUUCUCCGGGCUGUACGCUGUAACCGAACCUGAGACCGGCCGCCACCGGGGACUGAAACUGGAUCUCCUAAGCAGACCUCAGGAGCCUGUUUGGAGACUGCACAGCUACUCUCGACCCGGCCACUGGAGCCAGAUGGGGAGAGCCCCGGCGCAGGGAGAAUACGUGCACUCAAAUACCACUUCAUCAAAGUCUUGUCUAAAUGCUGCCUUGAAGCCUGAGGUAUCAGUGAAGAAUAAAGGCCACUGAGCUGGAUGUCCGGGCAGUGAGUGG
rnacentral:lncRNA from 1 species